rnacentral:tRNA from 1 species
GGGGUUGUGGCUCAAGGGUAGAGCGCUCACCUACCAUGUGUGAGGCACUGGGUUUGAUCCUCAGCACUACA